UAGUUAUUCCAAAUGCCAUUUUUGUGCCCUGUGUGAUGCACCAUUGUGAUGACACAUAAAACACAAAGCCUUUGGCACUUUAAUGCUUUGCCAAUGUAUUCUUUGUAUUCUUUCAUUUAUUGUCGCUGGUAAUAUUAAACCUGAUACCUUCAGAAUUUCCCAAUUCUUCUAUUCUGUUUGGAGAUGUAUAGCAACAUGAGUCAUCUGCAGGGGCACUCAUUGGCUGCCACUGACAGCGCUAGACGUCCAAUCCAUGUUGACCAGGAGGGGCGAAUGUACGUGGCAAGACAAGUUCCAGUCUAUGUCAACUAUUACCCUCCGUGAGCUCAACUCGCCAUCCGCUGCUAUUCGCCGUUUAGCCGGGUGAGAGGCACCUGUGCCGGCUUGCUCGCCGCCAAACGUUGGCCUCCUCGUAUGGUUGUCUCUCGUCGUUUUUUUACCCCGCAACGCUCUUCCUCGUCUAGCCAGCCGAGAGCCACUUUGCCCGGCUUGCUCGCUGGCAGGAGCCGGUCGGCCUCCUCUGAGCAUUGAGCAAAGCAGUCUGGAGGUUGCCAUUUCCUGGUUUUAAAAUGUGCCCCAAUAAACUUACAGUACAUGAAUAAAUCAUUACUUAAAUCUA